GACGAACGCUGGCGGCGUGCUUAAUACAUGCAAGUCGAACGGAAAGGCCCUGCUUUUGUGGGUUGCUCGAGUGGCGAACGGGUGAGUAACACGUGAGUAACCUGCCCUUGACUUUGGGAUAACUUCAGGAAACUGGGGCUAAUACAGGAUAGGAGCUCCUGCUGCAUGGUGGGGGUUGGAAAGUUUCGGCGGUUGGGGAUGGACUCGCGGCUUAUCAGCUUGUUGGUGGGGUAGUGGCUUACCAAGGCUUUGACGGGUAGCCGGCCUGGGAGGGUGACCGGCCACAAUGGGAAUGAGGUACGGCCCAGACUCCUACUGGAGGCAACAGUGGAGAAUAUUCCACAAUGGGCGGAAGCCUGAUGCAGCAACGCCGCGUGCGCGAUGACGGCCUUCGGGUUGUAAACCGCUUUCGCCUGUGACGAAGCGUGAGUGACGGUAAUGGAUAAAGAAGCACCGGCUAACUACGUG
rnacentral:rRNA from 1 species